ensembl:snoRNA U3 Small nucleolar RNA U3
AAGAUUGUACAUUCUUUUUAUAGUUCAUUACCAGAGUUUUCUCUGAUGGUGCAGAGCACUGAAUACCACAAGGAGGAGGCAUAAUGUUCUUUUCUGAAUGUGAACCUGACUCUUGGUGUUGCUUCCUUGCAACUGCUAUUUGUCAUUGAUACUUGUUCUUCUUUUCCUUUCACCACAGUGAGAGGGAGUUGACGCAGUCUGAGG